UACGAAGGGGGCUAGCGUUGCUCGGAAUUACUGGGCGUAAAGGGAGCGUAGGCGGACAUUUAAGUCAGGGGGUGAAAUCCCAGAGCUCAACUCUGGAACUGCCUUUGAUACUGGGUGUCUUGAGUGUGAUAGAGGUAUGUGGAACUCCGAGUGUAGAGGUGAAAUUCGUAGAAUAUUCGGAAGAACACCAGUGGCGAAGGCGACAUACUGGAUCAU
rnacentral:rRNA from 1 species